rnacentral:rRNA from 1 species
AGGCUCGUGUCGCUGUCCCUAGAUCAUGUCCCGGUUAUGCUUGACUUCCCCGCCGUCACCGGCACGCUGCUGCGGCUGGGCAGCGUUGUGGCGGUCAGCUUGCGAGGCACCAACAUCAGUGGCUCAAUCGCGGAUGCCGGCCGGGGCUGGAGGUGCGGCCAUACGCUGGCAGUGCUGGACCUGUCAGGCAAUGGCAAGCUGAGCGGGUCCACGGACAACGUGGUCGUGCUCACCAUCGCAUGCGGCGGGCCAAGGGAGCUGAUCCUUUCUGGCAACCUCAUCGGCGGCUGGAACGGAGACGGAGAUGUCCUCGACCUGUCCUACAACAAGAUCACCGGCGACCUCGUCCCUGCGUUCUCCAACUGCUCCAGAAUGGAUCCUCUUGACCUGUCCGUCAACCUCAUCUCCGGCGAGGUGGUGACCGGUGUCCUUGCCGGCUGCAGUGCUCUAGUUUCGCUCAACCUCUCCGGCAACCACUUGAGUGGCGCUUUCCUGCUGAACAUCACAGGGCUCGCGUCGCUCUCCUACCUCGACCUAUCGAACAACAACUUCUCCGGCGAGCUCCCAACUGGCAGCGGCGCAUUCACCUUUGUGCACCCGUGUCUCCCAUCGCUCUCUUUAUCCAUGAACAGCUUCAGCGGCUCCCUGUCAGACUCCAUGGGCGAGCUUGCCGAGCUCAAGACGCUGGACCUCAGCUCCAACAAGCUCAUCGGCGCUAUACGGUCAUCACUCUGCUCGGGAACUGGCAUUUCCAAGCUCAAGGCACUCUACCUGUAGAACAACUACCUCACCGGCGGCAUCCCGCCAGCCAUCUCCAACUGUGCCGGCCUCGAGUCUCUCGACCUCAUCCUGAACUACAUCGAUGGUUCCAUCGCCACAUCCCUCAGCCACCUUCCCCGGCUUUGGGACCUCAUCCUGUGGGAAAGCAAACUAAAGGGCGAGAUCCCGGCGUCAUUAGCCAGUGCUCGCGGGCUGAAGAAUCUCAUCCUUGAUUACAAUGGUCUUAUAAGUGGCAUCCCGCCAGAACUGGUGAACUGCUCGGAUCUGAACUGGCUAUCGCUCGAAAGCAGCCCGGUGCCGGCAUGGCUCGGGCGGCCAAACAACCUAAUAAUCUUGAAGCUAAAUAACAACUCCUUCUCAGGCCUGAUACUGCCGGAGCUAGGAGCCUGCAAGAGACUAGUUUGGCUGGACCUCAAUGAGAACCAGCUAAAUGGAAUUAUACCGCUGGAGCUGGCGAGGCAGUCAAGGAAGAUGUCGUCGGGCUUCGUCACAGGGCGACCAUAUGCCUACUUGCGAAACGACGAGCGGCAGAGCAGUGAAUGUCGCAACAAGGGGAGCCUGCUCGUGUUUGGCGGCGGCUGUUCGGAGGACUUAACUCGGAUGUCCAGCAAGAAGCUGUGCAAAUUCACCAUCAUGUACUUGGGAAGCAUGGACGAGUUCACUUCCAUUGAAGAUGGCUCCAUGAUAUUCCUAGACCUUUCCUUCAACCAGCUAGUUUCUGAGCCCAAGGAGCUUGGAAACAUGUUCUACCCCACGGUCGUGAAUCUUGGGCACAAUUUGCUUUCUGGUGCCAUUCCUAAGGAGCUUGGAGGUGUCAAGAAACUGGUAGUGCUUGACCUGUCACACAAUCCGUUGGAAGGCCCAAUCCCGACUUCAUUCUCCUUGCUGGACCUGUAAGAGAUUAAUCUGUCAUACAAUAGGCUGAAUGGAUCAAUACCGGAGCUUGGAUCCCUUGUCACUUUCCCGGAGAGUCAGUAUGAGAACAACUCUGGCUUGUGUGGUUUCCCUCCAUCUCCGUCCUCAAAAUUUUCGCAACUCAGUAAAGACAAGCCUCCAUAUUACAAUUAUCACUUGCUCAAAAUCGUACUCCCCAGUAACACUAUAGCUCUCGUUGCUAUUACUUUUUCCUUAUACUAUUGAAAGAAACAUGAAAAAGGCGAGUUCAAAGCUUUAAUGGAUCUGGGAGACCCGGUAGGCCAUCAAUUAAUCACUCACCUCCACUGUGUCCGUGCCACUGAUAAUUUUAGUGAAGAUUACUUGUUGGGCUCUGGAGGUUUCGGAAAAGUUUUCAAGGGCCAGCUCAGCAGCGGUUUAGUGGUUGCAGUAAAGGUUCUCGACAUAAGAUUGAAGCACUCCAUUAGAAGCUUUGAUGCCGAGUGUCGUGUACUCCGCAUGGCACGACACUGUAACCUGAUACGGAUAGUCGGCACAUGUUCUAACAUGGACUUCAUACCGCUAGUGCUACAGUACAUGCCCAAUGGCAGCUUAGACACGGUAUUGCACCACUCGCAGGUUGGAGAUAGGCAAUUUGGAUUCCGCGAGAGGUUGGGAGUUAUGCUUGAUGUGUCAAUAGCAAUGGAGUAGCUGCACUAUGGAUACCAUGAAGUGGUCUUGCAUUGUGAUUUGAAGCCAACCAAUGUAUUAUUUGGCGAGGACAUGACUCCACGUGUGGCAGACUUUGGCAUUGCAAGGUUAUUACACGGUGAUCAUUCCUCAACGAUGUCCUCCAACAUGCCAGGUUCAGUUGGGUCCUUAAGAUUGGAGUAUGCAUCAUUUGGAAAAGCAUCACGACUGAGUGAUGUGUUUAGCUAUGGAAUAAUGCUCCUUGAAGUCUUCACUGGAAGGAAGCCUACAGAUGCUAUGUUCGUUGGAGAACUGAGCCUUAGGCUAUGGGUUCACCAGUCAUUUCCUCUUCAAGACUCCUCUUCAAGAUGCGACUUGCACGAUAACUGUGUUUUGCCAGUAUUGGAAGUUGGUUUGCUCUGCUCCAACGACUCACCUGGUGAUAGGAUAAAGAUGAACGACGUUGUCAUCAUGCUAAAAAGGAUCCAAAUGAAGUACAUCAAAUGGACAACAAAGACAACAUUGAGUGCCCCACAAUAA